rnacentral:lncRNA from 1 species
AUAGGGACAACUAAUGAGAUUGAACCCUUGUUUGUUGAUUCCCAACAAAUCAUAAGACCGUUUAAUACAACGGGGGCAACUAAUGAGAUUGAAUCCUUCUUUGUUGACUCCCAACAGGUUGUAAGGCCAACUAGUACCAACUCAGCCACUCCUCUUGUGCGAGAGUCUCACCUAAGCUCGAGCUCUAAGAAGGAGUCUACUACGGAGUUAACCCCCGACAAACAAUUCGAAAUUUGCAAUGAAAAAGGCUACCGAAAAGAAGUUGGGGGAUCACUCACCCCUUGCAAAUAACUAAAUGAGUCAUUCAUGUAUCACCCUUCAAAAGGCAUUAACGUCAAAUGUGUAACAUGAAGUACUCCAUUAACGGGAAAACCCUGAUGAGCCUAUUUGUCCAUACAAAAGGCUAAGGGAUUUGAAAACUGUGCGUGAUAUUUAGUCCCAAAAUCAAGGUUAAAGUGGAGCAGUUUAAAGGAAAAGUUCAACGGAAAUUUAACAACCAUUGUCAAAGAGAUUUUGGAUGCCAACCUGGGUCAAGGGAAAUCAGAGGAAGACCGAUAUUAGAACCUCCCUACCACUUGGAGGAG